UGUUAUAGUAUUCCACCUACCC
rnacentral:miRNA from 1 species